rnacentral:rRNA from 1 species
ACCAGCACGUUAUGUGGGCGACUCUAAGGAGACUGCCGGUGGACAAACCGGAGGAAGGUGGGGGAGUGACGUCAAGUCAUCAUGGCCCUUACGGCCUGGGCUACACACGUGCUACAAUGGUCGGUACAAAGGGUUGCCAAGCCGCGAGGUGGAGCUAAUCCCAUAAAACCGAUCGUAGUCCGGAUCGCAGUCUGCAACUCGACUGCGUGAAGUCGGAAUCGCUAGUAAUCGUGAAUCAGAAUGUCACGGUGAAUACGUUCCCGGGCCUU